GUCCACGGCGCCCGCCAUUCUGUAGCCUAUGCUCGGAGGGCACAUGAGCAAGAGCUUGACCAUCUGUACCGUUGGUUGACUUGCUCUAUUAAGGGCUAUGAUUUCAGGUCGUCCUGCGUGUUUAGAGGAGGCGAGUGGAAUCUUGAGUCUCGGCUGGAGAAGGCAGAGCACGGGCAUGCAGACCUCAAAGCCUCAAACCUGCGUGUGAGAGGAGAAGUUGGCGAGCUCCAGCGUAUGGUCCACGGAAGAUACAAGACAACAGCUUCUGCGAACCAGUAAGAGUGGCCUCAUUAGACAUUGGAUUUGCCAGUGACUUGAUCAUGGACUUCCCAGUCUCCAGGACUGUGAGUUAUAAAGGUUUGUUGUUUAAGCCACCCA
ensembl:lncRNA ZNF45-AS1 ZNF45 antisense RNA 1